CUCCCAAAUAGACCACAAAAUCUGUUCAUAUCUCCAAAAAAAACGGUUAUUUCAGUUAAAGCUAAUCUCACAACAUUUUUAAGAAAAUUGAAGGUCAAUAUUUGUGUUUGGACGUGGCGUUUUAAUAGAAUCAAAAUUUCUGUAGCUAAACCAAACCAACAAACCGAUCCAAAGCUAAACCACAUCUUAUUGUGUGGUUAUCACUCUUUCUACACCAAAUAACGUUACUCAUAUCAAAAUGAGAGAUAAUGGUAGAAAAUUGUUGUACGGUAACUUGUCAGUGUGACAUGAUGAUUGAUGACCUGGAGUUUCAGCGUCGAGAACGG